UACGUAGGGUGCAAGCGUUGUUCGGAAUCAUUGGGCGUAAAGCGUGCGCAGGCGGUUUUGUAAGUCUGUCGUGAAAUCCCCGGGCUCAACCUGGGAAUUGCGAUGGAGACUGCAAGGCUAGAAUCUGGCAGAGGGGGGUAGAAGUUCCACGUGUAGCAGUGAAAUGACGUAGAGAUGUGGAGGAACACCGAUGGCGAAGGCAGCCCCCUGGGUCAAGAUUGACGCUCAUGCA
rnacentral:rRNA from 1 species